AACGAACGCUGGCGGCAGGCUUAACACAUGCAAGUCGAACGCACCGCAAGGUGAGUGGCAGACGGGUGAGUAACACGUGGGGAUCUGCCCAAUGGUACGGAAUAGCUCCGGGAAACUGGGGCUAAUACCGGAUACGUGCGAGAGCAGAAAGAUUUAUCGCUGAAGGAUCGGCCCGCGUCUGAUUAGCUAGUUGGUGAGGUAAUGGCUCACCAAGGCGACGAUCAGUAGCUGGUCUGAGAGGAUGAUCAGCCACAUUGGGACUGAGACACGGCCCAAACUCCUACGGGAGGCAGCAGUGGGGAAUAUUGGACAAUGGGCGCAAGCCUGAUCCAGCCAUGCCGCGUGAGUGAUGAAGGCCUUAGGGUUGUAAAGCUCUUUCAGUGGGGACGAUAAUGACGGUACCCGCAGAAGAAGCCCCGGCUAACUUCGUGCCAGCCGCCGCAGUAACAC
rnacentral:rRNA from 1 species